GGGCCUGUAGCUCAAUGGCAGAGCAAGCGGCUCAUAACCGCUGGGUUCCAGGUUCGAGUCCUGGCAGGCCCA
rnacentral:tRNA from 1 species